rnacentral:ncRNA from 1 species
UGCCCGUACCCCAAACCGACUCAGGUGGGUCAGGUAGAGAAUACCAAGGAGAUCGAGAGAAUCGCGGUUAAGGAACUCGGCAAAAUGCCCCCGUAACUUCGGGAGAAGGGGGGCCAUCCACUUAUUAGGACUUGCUCCGAAAGGGUGUGGUGGCCGCAGAGACUAGUGGGUAGCGACUGUUUACUAAAAACACAGGUCCGUGCCAAGUCGCAAGACGAUGUAUACGGACUGACGCCUGCCCGGUGCUGGAAGGUUAAGAGGACCGGUUAGCCGCAAGGCGAAGCUGAGAAUUUAAGCCCCAGUAAACGGCGGUGGUAACUAUAACCAUCCUAAGGUAGCGAAAUUCCUUGUCGGGUAAGUUCCGACCUGCACGAAUGGCGUAACUUCCCAACUGUCUCAACCGCGAACUCGGCGAAAUUGCAUUACGAGUAAAGAUGCUCGUUACGCGCAGCAGGACGGAAAGACCCCCGUGCCUUUACUACAGCUUGGUAUUGGUGUUCGGUGUGGCUUGUGUAGGAUAGGUGGGAGACGGUGAAGCAUUCACGCCAGUGAGUGUGGAGUCAUUGUUGAAAUACCACUCUGGUCACUCUGGAUAUCUAACUUAGGACCGUGAUCCGGUUCAGGGACAGUGCCUGGUGGGUAGUUUAACUGGGGCGGUUGCUCCCAAAAUGUAACGGAGGCGC